rnacentral:rRNA from 1 species
GAUGAACGCUAGCGGCAGGCCUAAUACAUGCAAGUCGGACGGGAUUCAGGGAGUAGCUUGCUACAAACUGAUGAGAGUGGCGCACGGGUGCGUAACGCGUGAGCAACCUACCCAUAUCAGGGGGAUAGCCUCUCGAAAGAGAGAUUAACACCGCAUAACAUCAUUAACCGGCAUCGGAUUAUGAUCAAAUAUUUAUAGGAUAUGGAUGGGCUCGCGUGACAUUAGCUAGUUGGAGGGGUA